ACCCACAUGGUUUUGGGAAUCAUUGCCCUUGUUUACAUGGCAAUAUUUUUGGGGCUUGGUAUCACUGAGCUUGCUGCUAUUGCUGCUUCUCUUCAAAACCAGGAGUGUAAGAUCACGAACAAUAUGUGUAUGUGCAGGUAUUCUGCUGACGAUGAUUAUCUGGCUGAUUCAAUGCAGUCUUGUAAAAUGUUUACUAAAAUGAAUACUGUUUGCAAGAUGGGCGUGGCGACUGUCGUCGUCGUUGGGAUUGGGUGGAUCUUGCUCUUGAUUGAGCUUGUCAUUGUUGGUACUGAAACCUGCGAGUCCGUCGCUAAAACUGUCGUUGCUGAAACCUACAAAUCCCACCAGCGUGCUGCCUUUGUUCGUGAUCCAAGCGAGACAAAAUUUGUUGGCUCGGAAGACACCGCUGCACCAUCUGCCGACAACAUCAAUGACAGGGCGUUACUUCUCAAAAAUUAUUAAAGAUACAUCGAAGGAUUGUUUUUGUAAUAACUCAAUUAUUGUCAUGUGUGUGCUAGGACAAAUG